ensembl:lncRNA
CCUGCUCCGCACAGUACUGGGAACUCCUUUCCACCAAGCAGAAGUUAUCUGACAUCUCCAUUGCGGCUGUCUGGGUCAGAACUCCUCUUUGAAGGGGUUUCAAAGUAAAACAAGAUAAGAAGCACCUUUUCAAAAGGAAUCUUUCUGGAGGAGGCUGUGAUGUGAAAGAGUGGAGUGCAAGUUGGCCGCUGUGCUCGUGGGACAAAGACAUCUGCAGCAUCGGAGUCUGGUGGGCGCCUCCUCCUGGGUCCGUCCACCCCCAGGAUCACCCGCGGCCUGGUCACCCGCCCACGAUGUGAAAAGACUGUAGCCCACCAGGCUCCACUGUCCACAGGAUUCUCCAGGCAAUAACACUGGAGUGGGUUGCCAUGCCCUCCUCCAGGAGAUCCUUCUGACUGUCAAGACUGAGUCUUCUGCGUUGGAAGGUGGAUUCUUUACCACUGAGCCACCUGGGAAGCCCUUCAAUAAGCCAAUAUUUACUUUUUUAAAGGUCCCUCCAGGCAUGGAGGCCAUGCUGCAAAGCCAGAGGGAAGUCUCCAACUGCGCAUAUUCCAAAGCCUUCCUCCGCCAAGCCACGUUGCCCUAACCCACACAGCGCCACUCUGUGGAAAGCAUUGUUCUCACUGCUGUUGCUGGUGACCAGGGCUGGAAAGGCAAAGGAAAACGGGACAACAGUGACACAGAUGACCGAGGCCAACACAACGCCCUGUGCUCCGCGAGAGAGACCCAAGGGAAAUCCCUGGGGGCCUUGAAUAAAUUGCCUGCGUUCUUCACUUCAUUUUACAAGUGCAAAAGUGACCUUUCUGGUCACGAUGGCUUUCAGAGAAAGCCUGGCAGUGGAAAUAAACAUUUUCCAUUCCGUU